rnacentral:other from 13 species
UUACGGAGUAAAGGGGAGUAGCGUCAGGGAAACCUGAAACAAAGUCGUCAUUACAUGGAGUAUUCCAUCGGCUUUGUUGGCAUAAUGAUUAUGCUUAGCAAGACCUUUGCCAUAUUU